AUUUAUAUAGUUUAAUAAAAACUUUACAUUUUCAUUGUAAAAAUAAUAAAUUUUUAUUUAUAAAUU
rnacentral:tRNA from 1 species